AGGAUUUGCUAUCUGCACCAACACUACCUUGCCUCGCCAUUCUGGAUGCUGCACAAGCAACUGUUCCAUUGCCAGCAACUUCAAACUUAUACCCUUAAAAAUAUCCAUAUCAUCCACUCCUAGCAACAUUGUCCGGCCCUGAUCAUCGAACUGCUUAAUGAGCUCCACAACCUUUGCUUCAGUCUCUGGAAGCCUCAGCACUGACUGAAGCUGACCCAUAUGAAUACCAACUGGCAGAAUUUUGAUGCUUACAGUCCUACCACAAUACUCAAGGCCUAUGUAACCCCUCUUGGAUUCAUAUGUAAGACCAAGCAUUCUACUACAGCAAGACAAGAAAUGCCUUGCAUAGUCAAAAGUAUGAAACCCAAUCAAAUCUGAAUUCAAUAGGGCUCGCAGAAGCUCUUCUCUGAUAGGCAAUGUCUUAUAAAUCUCUGAUGAAGGGAAGGGGCUAUGGAGGAAAAAUCCAAGUUUCACCCUAUUAAACCUCUUCCUAAGGAAAGUUGGCAGCACCAUAAGAUGAUAGUCAUGCACCCAUACAAAAUCAUCUUCUGGGUUAAUCACCUCCAUGAUCCUAUCAGCAAAAAUCUUAUUUGCUGAUACAUAUGCUUGCCAUAGUGAACGAUUAAACCUACCACCAAGGUCAGGUGACAAAGGCAACAUAUAAUGAAACAAAGGCCACAACUGUUGCUUACAGAACCCAUGAUAGAACCUGCUAAAAAGAUCCGGGGGAAGAAAUGUAGGCACACAUUUGAAGGUCUCCAAAAGUAUCUGCGAGACCUCAUCUUGUUCACUAGGGUGAAUUUCUUCUCUCAAACAACCAACAUAAAUAACUUCAAUCUCAUCAUCCCCUAAUCCAUCUUUCAAUUGAAGAAGAAGUGAAUUCUCAUCCCAUGUGAAAAUCCAAGACUUACUACCAUCCGAUUUUCGCUGUGCCCUUAUUGGCAGCUGAUUGGCUACAAUAAUUAUUCGGUCUUUCUGGACCGAAGAAGAUGAUGGAUCAGAGCAUACACUCUCCGACGGGUCAUCAUCUAGGUCCGAAAUUAUGCCAGCCACCGUCAUAAUCCGCGGGAUUCGCCGGCUCAUGCGGCCAAACGAUGGAGACUCCCCAGAGGCGAGCUCCAAAAGAUUUGAGUAUGACCUCGACACCAUUUCCUUUUGUCAGUUUUUGCAACGAAAUCUAGCUAAUUUUAUGCUCUUUGUUUGACAGUGAGCAAUAAAUCUCUCAUUUAAACAAAAUCUUCCGCACUGGAAGACAACCCUUUACAAAAUUUAAGCUUGUAAGUUACUAAGAUCUUGUAAACCAAGAAAUUAAGAACAACAACUACUGCGAGAUACAAAUCAGAGGAUACCCUUUUUACGAUUUACUCAAACAAGGUCGCUAAGUUGCUCUAAAACAAGAAAGAGCUAGCUACUUCAAUGUAAAAAAAAAAACAAAGGAGAGAAAACCAGAUGAAAAAGGAAGUGAAAAGGGAAGGGAAAUUUCAGUGUACAUAGAUAGAAAUGAAUCAUACAAAGGAUUGGAUAGAACCAGGAAGCUUCUAGCUAUCAAGAUUAAAAAGGAGAGAGAAAUAAAGGAACGGAAUAGAUUCAAGAUUAUUGAGCUAAAGAAAAUAUACUGCAGCAACAACCAGAUAUCCCCACUAGAGAUUGUUACAACACUUGCACUAUUUGAUAAAUUAAAGGGAAAAAAAAGGAGGAGACUGAAGUGAAAGAAUAAAAAAUAAAAAAAGAAAGUGACCAACAAAGCUUAAAUUUAAACAGAGACCACCCAAAAUAAAAAUGAUAAUAAAAUCAAGAAUAGUUCAAGAAAUUACCAGGUUCUUGAAAAUUGAAUUCCAUUUUCUUUUUUGCACGGUAGCAUGCAAAUCUGAUUUUACCCAAGCCAAAAAGAAAAAAAUCUAAGCAGCUAAAGCUAGGAUUUUUUUUUUUUUCUUUUCCUUUUGUUGAAGGACUUAUGUGGGCCUCCUUUUCUCCAAGUUGGUACUUGAAAACAAGAAAGUAUUGAAACGAACUCAAAAUCUGGUUUAUGAUUUAGUAUAAGCUCUUUUGGCUACAUAGAAAAUUACAUAUACAACCACUUUGGAUGGAAGAAUAGAUGACAAUACCGUCUAUGUUGGAUGAAUUUUAACAUGUUGCUCUUGUGCCUUGCAAAGUGACAUUUCUUUUUACUGGUGUUAAUUAUUGAUUUGAUUCUUUGUUUUCUUGCUUCAAAUUACUCAUUUGAUGAAAUCUAUUUUGUCACUUUUCUUGAUAUGUGCCUUUCUAUGAUAAUCAAUUGGCACAAAUGAAGAAUUUAUGGUCAUAAUUCCUCUUAUCAUGCUUUUAUAUUUCUAAAGUUUUCCUUUCUUUGUUCAAUCAUCUGUCAUGGAUUUGGAUUUUGCAUAAUUCAACAAAUGAGAGUCAUCUAAGUGGGCAUUGGGUGUUUGAAUUAGAAGAGAUUGUUAAGCUUUUAACUAGAGUUGGAUCCUCAAGAACUAAACAUUUUCAGUAAUUUGACAAGCUUGAUCUUUUCUGUCACUUGUACUAGAAGGUUCUAAUAUACCAAUGAGAAAAUAGGACAAAUAGCGUUUCUAGUUCCAAAGUUUAUUAUACUUCAUAUCCAAGAAACCUCCUUCAGUUGCUCAUAUUUAAUGCAAGAAAUAUCUUCUAAGUGGACAAUAUCUGAUUGAAUACGAAGAAAAUAAGGGCUUUUGGAGCUGGAUCUUUUUGCACUAAACUUCUCCAUUAUUAUAUCAAGCUCAAUUGACUAUCUUUUUCAUUUUUGUAUUAUAUUCUGCGAGAUACCAAACUAUAACCUAUAUAAUUUACUAUAUCCUUCUUUGUUAUUAUCAAGAAUAAUGAAUUGUAGAUUAAGAUUGUAGUCUGUACGUAGAUUAAGUUUUCACUUUUUAAAAAUUAAUAUCCUUUUUUCCUUCACUUUUGCUUGAUUUUGCACAAAGAUACUGCUAAGAUUAAAUUUUUCAAUGGUUCAGUUUGACAAAAGGUUUUUUUCCUGUGGCAUCCUUCAUGUCAUUGCACAUGUAUUGAAUUUUUUGGAGUAACUUAAUAUUCACUCUACAUAUAAUCAAUUUGUGGUAAUGAAAUCAAUUGUGCUUGUUUUAAUGGAAACUAACUAAAAUUUAACAGGUUCAACUUUUGUUCAGGUGAAAGGAAAUUAACUUGCAGUAGUUCAUGCUGUUAUGUCAUUGGUAUUAGUUACCAUUUACUUUACACGACUCAAUACUAAUAUGCACAAUAGAUUUAGCUUCUUGGUAUUCAAAACCUCUCUUAGUAAUAUAUUUAAUAUUUCAUGUUUCAUCCUCUACAGGGCCAUGGCUUGUGAAAGCUGGCUACUAAAUGAUCUCAUAUUUCCUAACAAUACUGAAGUUGUUUCCAUAGAAACCUUUCAUUUUCUCAAGCUUAGGUGAUCAUAAACUAGAUUAUUUACUGAAUUCAGACAGCCCUCGUUGGUCAUGUCUAUUAAAGCAGCACUCGAUAGACAUAUCUAUUAAAUCUUUGAGAGCUCAAACAUCCAUAAAAAUGAAUUUUCAAAAACAUUGCUUCCCUUUGUGAGAAAAUGUGCAUGUUUUCAUAAUAUGUUCUCUGCAUUUUUAAUUAUAUGGGGCCUAGUUGCAAUUUUAUUGGCGUCUGCACAUAGUUGAAAUGAUGUAAACCUUAGCAUAACUCAAUAUGACUAGUUUCCUAACAUUGCUAGUGCUAGGGGUGGAAUUCUUUUAAACAUACCAUGUUUGCCUUGUCAUAAGUUAAUAAAACCAUGUGUGGUCAUCAGAAUAUCAAAACAAGAACGUGAUAGAAUCAGUUUAACAUGUUAAUUCUGGGUAUGAUAUGACCUACUUAACAUGGCACGACAUAGUUUUGUGUUUGGUUGCUAUUUAUUUCUUUCUAUUCUUAAUUGAUAGGUCUAACCUUGAAUUUUUCAAAAAAUUACUUCAAAUAAAACUAUUGAAUAUGCAUAAAAGGAUAUAAUUAGUGUUUUGUUAAAUACAUUUGAAUGUAAUAGACAUGUUGUCCUCCAUCACUUAAUUAACUGUGUUAUUAUUUGCCACUCUUAUUUGCUAAGUCAUCAUGACACUCAUUUAAGAAUCCAGUUAGUACAAUUUUGACCCAGAGACAAGUAAUGCAAACCAAGCUUUCUUAUUUCAUGCAAUGCGCAAGUCAUGUUCACGUAUUAUUUCAGAUGUAGCCAGUGUUGCUCACCAUAAUAAAAUUACUCUUCAAUACAUUGUUCAAUAUAUUGUUUUACUAAGAUGUCUAUUUAAAAAAUAAAAAAAAAAUUAUAAAAAGAUGUAUAAUGGUUUUGAUGAGCCAGAAACCUCAAUUUCCAAGGAAGGAGUUUGUUCCCCCAUUUGUGUGUAGAUUAGGUAUGAUCUGAUAGAGAAUUAGAUGUCUAAGUUUAUUUCUCAGGGUGUAAAAAGAGGAAUACACUCCAUGCAAGGCUUAUCAAUAUUAAUACAUACAUAUGUGUUGCUCAAUUGCCAAUUUUCUUUUCUAUUUUUAACCUGACAAUUAUUAUGUUCUCAUAAUCUUGAGUUGCUGAAAACUUCAAUGUAUAAGGAAGGAGUGCACUUGCCCAUUUGCACCAGAAUUGGAG
rnacentral:misc_RNA from 1 species